rnacentral:rRNA from 1 species
AAUCCUGGUAGCAAGUUUUUCCUAUGUACAAAGGAAAUAGAAGAUGAGAAGACAAAAGAGAUAAAAGAGCACUUCUCCACAUUAUAUUGGUCACUGGAUGCAUGCACGAGAGGAUGGCUUAAUGGUUGUAGGCCAAUAAUUUUUAUUGAUGGAUGUCACUUAAAGACCAGAUAUAAAGGAAAUUUACUCACAGCUGUAGGUAUUGACCCAAAUGACUGUAUCUUCCCCAUAGCAUUUGGCAUUGUGGAAGUGGAGUCAACUAGCAGUUGGGAGUGGUUUCUGGAAAGCCUAAAGGAUGACCUCAACAUAUGUAACACCUCUCCAUACACAAUUAUGAGCGACAAGCAAAAGGGUCUCAUAAAAGCUGUGGCAAAGAUAUGGCAUGAUGGUGAACACAGAUUUUGUGUCAGGCAUAUGUAUCAGAAUUCCACAAGCUUCACAAAGGUGAGCAACUAA